rnacentral:lncRNA from 1 species
UAUUAGAUACUCACAGGUAUGUACUUUUAUUACCUUUCUAGAGUCCUCUAUCCUGGUGGAAUCAGCUCCACUCCUGAUGGGAAGGGACAAGAGUUGCUUCACCUACUCACAGAAAUUCACGUAAUUUAGAAACAUGUGCCUGAGAGCCUCAGAAGAACAAAGGGAAGAUCCAGUAAAAUACAACUCAACUGUCUGUGAGUAUGUAUGCAGAAGUAGAGCUGGAGUCAAUAGAUAAUAGGCCAGAUCUUUGUACUUAGAAAUUC